AGUAGUGGUAGUAGUGGUAGUAGUGGUAGUAGUGGUAGUAGUGGUAGUAGNNNNNNNNNNAGUGGUAGUAGUGGUAGUAGUGGUAGUAGUGGUAGUAGUGGUAGUAGCGAUAUUUUUACGGACUACUUCGAAAAUAAAGAUAUAAAAGUGCAUAGUGAUUGCGAAAGCCUAAUAAACUAUGAGAUUCAGAAACUAAUGGAGUGUAUUAAAGACAUUGUUUUUUUUGAGAAUUCCAUUUAUUUGCUUGAAAAGAUAGAGAACCGUCCACCAUUAUUUGAAGAAUUAACAUAUGCAUAUAACUAUGAUAAAGAAAUGUUUAUUAACAAGUUAGAAAAAAAAAUCAGAUCAUCACAACAGUUGUUAAUAUAUUUUAUACCAUUAAUUACUAAUAUUGUUACAAAGGCAGAAGUUAAUUUUAGUAGUAAUUUAAGUAAAGAAGAUUUUGUACUGGUCAGUUUAGAAGCAGUAAAAAAUGGAUUAAAGCGAUAUGAUAUAAUAAAAUUAGGUAUAAAAAAUUUAACAAAAUAUGUAUACAUGUGGACAAAAAAUAGCACUUAUAGUUACUACCAAAAACAUAAAUCGUUUGUUUCGAUUUCACCAAAUAUAUAUAAAGAUUAUAAUAAAAUUAAACAGUUUGAGGAAAGUUUUUAUGAACGUUAUGAUAGAAAACCAAAUUUAAAUGAAAUAAGUGAAAAAGUAAAUAUGAGUAUCGAAAGAAUAGAAAAAGUUUUAUCAUCUAUGGUUAGUAUUAUAGACGCUGAAAAACCAUUAACUUAUAAACAGGAUAAUGAUAGUAAUAGUAAUAAAAAUUCACCUGGUGCUGAUAAAAAUACAUAUAAAGAUUUAAUUGUAAAUUCAGAUGAUAUAAAUAGCUUUAACGAAAUUUUAUAUAAUGACAUUGUUGUUAAAUCAUUGAGAAAUUUUAUAUGUAAAGCAUUAAAAAAAAAAAAAAAUUUUAAAUUACUUAUUUUUAUGAAAUUCGGAUUAUUAUUAAAUAAAAAAAAUUACACGGACGAUGAAAUUUGUCAAAUUAUGAAAAUUACAAAAAAAAAAUUUAAAAUAUAUUUUGAAAAUGCGAUAAACGACAUAAAAAUUUAUAUAAAAAAAAAUAAAUCUCAAUUGGACGCUACUUCGGACAUUAUGUCUUAUAUUAAUUUUUCCCAGUAUGACUUUUUAGGCAACGAAUUUUCUCAGCUGGCUACUUAGUGCGAGCAUGUACGAACUUAUUUAUGUUAACUUAUUUAUGUUAACUUAUUUAUGUUAGCUUAUUUAUGUUAACUUAUUUAUGUUAACUUAUUUAUGUUAGCUUAUUUAUGUUAACUUAUUUAUGUUAACUUAUUUAUGUUAGCUUAUUUAUGUUAACUUAA
rnacentral:lncRNA from 1 species